rnacentral:tRNA from 1 species
AAAGAAGUAAAUAUAUACAAUUAGUUUCGACCUAAAGUUAGGAAUAUAAAUUUCCCAUGUUUU